UAUUCAGUAUGGUGUUUAAUUUAGUUUAAGGGUUGUUGGGUUAUCUCGCUAACAAAUAUACUUUAUCAAUUUGAUAUAUUGGGUUUGUUGUUUCAAAUUACUGAGUUACGGGUUGAAUUUGUUUGCUUAUGCAAUUUUUUUGAUGAGUUUUUGCAAAUUAUGGGUAAUUGAAUUCUGCUUUUGUAGAUUGGUUAACAACCUGGGGACAAUGUCAUUGAUUUGGGGUUGUAGGCACGUUGUCAAACAUGAAGGAAGGACUUGAAGGAUCGGAAGGGCCAUCAAAGACAGUUCCACUCAAAGUUCUUCAAAGAGAAAGAUUAUUGUUUGGGCUCCAACUAGGGAGAGAGGACCAUUGAACAUUCGAAGAGGGCA